rnacentral:rRNA from 1 species
GACGAACGCUGGCGGCGUGCUUAACACAUGCAAGUCGAACGGAAAGGCCCUGCUUUUGUGGGGUGCUCGAGUGGCGAACGGGUGAGUAACACGUGAGUAACCUGCCCUUGACUUUGGGAUAACUUCAGGAAACUGGGGCUAAUACCGGAUAGGAGCUCCUGCUGCAUGGUGGGGGUUGGAAAGUUUCGGCGGGUGGGGAUGGACUCGCGGCUUAUCAGCUUGUUGGUGGGGUAGUGGCUUACCAAGGCUUUGACGGGUAGCCGGCCUGAGAGGGUGACCGGCCACAUUGGGACUGAGAUACGGCCCAGACUCCUACGGGAGGCAGCAGUGGGGAAUAUUGAACAAUGGGCGGAAGCCUGAUGCAGCAACGCCGCGUGCGGGAUGACGGCCUUCGGGUUGUAAACCGCUUUCGCCUGUGACGACGCGUGAGUGACGGUAAUGGGUAAAGAAGCACCGGCUAACUACGUG